rnacentral:rRNA from 1 species
AAUGAACGUUGGCGGCGUGGAUUAGGCAUGCAAGUCGAGCGCUCAUAGCAAUAUGGGAGCGGCGAACGGCGUAGUAAUGCAUCGGAACGUACCCUUCGGUCGGGGAUAGCCACGGGAAACUGUGGGUAAUACCCGAUGAUAUCUGCGGAUCAAAAGGUGAGAUUCCGCCGGAGGAGCGGCUGAUGUGAUAUUAGCUUGAUGGUGGGGUAAUGGCCUACCAUGGCGAUGAUGUCUAGGGGGUGUGAGAGCAUGGCCCCCACGACCGGAACUGAGACACUGUCCGGACACCUACGGGUGGCUGCAGUCGAGAAUCUUCCGCAAUGGACGAAAGUCUGACGGAGCGACGCCGCGUGCGGGAUGAAGGCCCUUGGGUUGUAAACCGCUGUCAGAGGGGAUGAAAUCUCCGGGGGUACUCCCCCGGAGUUGACAGAGCCUCAAAGGAAGCACGGGCUAAGUACGUG